AUUCCAACACUUAAGAGUUUGCAUCUGUUUAAUGAAUGUGUGGUCAUUACAUAGAUCAUUCCUACACAGCAUCUUCUCAUGGGUCCUCCUUACAUGGUGAAAGGGCCUGCUGCUUCAAAAUGGGAAGGUCUUAUAAUUACAUUUUUUAAAAACAUUAUCCAUCCUCCCCGUACUCACUUGCUAAGAUUUUAUCUCAUUAAGCAGUUACCAAGUUAUUUGUGAACUGAGACCGGGCAUCCAAGCUGUUAGCUGUAGAAUAAAAUUUUUAAAAAAUUUUAUUUUUCCUUUUAUGUUUUGAGUGUUUUAUCUUUGUAUGUUUGGUGUCUGAGGUGGCCAAAAGAGGGUCCUGGAUCCCCAGAAACUGGAGUUACUGAUUUGAGCUGUCAUGUGAGUCCUGGGGACUAACCUCAGGUCCUGUAUGAGAGCAUCAGGAACUCUUAACGGCUCAGCCAUUUCUCCGGUGCUCAUUCCAUUAUGCCUUCACUGCACUGUUUCAGCACAAACGGGGGUUUACAUUUAAAAGCACGAAGACUAAGGUGAAUUUCCAUCAGUUCAACGCCACCAAGGUAAAUUGCAUGGAGUCCAUAGGUGUGAUGCUUUCUCAGUCCAUUUGGGCUACCGUAACAAGAUGUCAUAGACUCGACAGCUGCUAGACAGAAAUGUACUGCCCUCCAUUCUGCAGGCUGGGGGCCCAGGAUGAAGCACCAGAAGAUGCGAUGUUUGAUGAGGACUCAGUCUCCCUGUCUCACUGGGCUUGCUGGUGCUUCUUGUCAGGGACCCAAUCUAAUACUUGAGGGCUCCACCUUAUUAUCUGACUAGCCCUGAAAGGUUGCCACCUCCCAUGCAGUCACCUUGUGAGUUCAAAGCCAAAGGCAUGUGUUAGAGGGACACAGAUUUUUAGACCAUAGAGCACACAUAAAGCUUACAUUUAUUCUGUCUGUCUCUCUGUGUGUCUGACUCUCUGUCUCUGUCUUGUGUGUGUGUGUGUGUGUGUGUGUGUGUGUGUGUGUUGGUCUGACUAUGCAUUAUUCAUGGUCACAUGUGUGCAGGUGUGUGUGAGUACAUGUACCAGAGGUGGUCAACCUUGAGUAUCAUGCUCUAAGGGUCUAUUGAUUUUGUUUUCUGAGACUGUCUGUCUCACUGGGACUUUCGGUGUAUCAGUUGGUUUGGCUGGCUGGCUAGUGAGACCCAGCAACCCACCAGUGUCUACCUCUCCAGCUCUGCAGUUACAAGGACUCACACCCAUGCCUGCCUUUUAAACACUGUACUGAGAAUCAAAGGCAGGUCUUUCUGCAUCCACAGCAAGCCCUAUCUCUUCACCCCUUGUUUUGUCUCAAACCUUCAUUCCUCAGGAUAUCUUCUCAGGAUAUCUUCUCAGGGAUUCUUUAUCACCCUUAAAGCUACUUUCUGAACUUCGUGACUCAGGCUAUAGACUCAUUAGAAAUGAAUUAUAGCUUAGUCAAUGGUUCCUAUGUGGUAGAUGACACUGAUGAUAACAGCCUUAUGUGACUUACAGCUAUCAUUUACAAUUUGUCCAAAUUUUAAGUAGGUCGUUUUCUUUUUUCUUUUUAACCUACAGAAAAGUAUACUGUAUAUGCAUUUCUUUUUUGUAAUUAAAAAAUUACAUUUGGGUGUGCAGGCAUGUGCAGAGUCAGAGGGUAGAUAGAAUUAAUUCUCUCCUACCAUGAGGGUGCUGAAGGCUACACUCCAGGUUGCUGUGGAUCCAUUGAGCCCUCCUGACCAGUGCAGUAUAUACAUUUCUAUGCACAUUUGCUCUCCUCCCUCACUUGCUGAGUGUGCUCCAUGUUAUUCCAGGUUUUGAGGACUAUGGGGACAGAGAGUCUUGAGGUGCCCGAGAGGGAAGGAAAGCUGCCAGUGUCAUUAAUGAGAGGAGUGAAUGGCAGGUUGGGACCUUGUUGGAAAGGAGCAUUUCUUGAUAUCUAGAAUGAAAUUCUAAGAGGAAAAACCCACACUCGAUAGUGCAGGAUUCAUGGAGGCUGCAUCGUGUUCCUUCGUACAUUUCAAAGCAAUGUGGGUCAACUGGAGCUCUAACUCCUGAUACCACACUUGGGUGGCAUGAGGGGGUCCUGGGCUCGAGACUAUGUACUCUG
rnacentral:lncRNA from 1 species